rnacentral:rRNA from 1 species
AUUCCAGCUCCAAUAGCGUAUAUUAAAGUUGUUGCAGUUAAAACGCUCGUAGUCGGAUUUCGGGGCGGGCCGACCGGUCUGCCGAUGGGUAUGCACUGGCCGGCGCGUCCUUCCACCCGGAGACCGCGCCUACUCUUACCUGAGCGGGCGCGGGAGACGGGUAUUUUACUUUGAAAAAAUUAGAGUGUUCAAGGCAGGCAAUCGUCAUAAAUACUAUAGCAUGGAAUAAUGGAAUAGGACUUUGGUUCAUUUUAUUGGUUAUUGAACCUUAGUAAUGAUUAACAGGGACAGUCAGGGGCACUCGUAUUCCGCCGAGAGAGGUGAAAUUCUCAGACCAGCGGAAGACGAACCACUGCGAAAGCAUUUGCCAGGGAUGUUUUCAUCA